rnacentral:rRNA from 1 species
CCUACGGGUGGCAGCAGUGAGGAAUAUUGGUCAAUGGGCGGAAGCCUGAACCAGCCAAGUAGCGUGCAGGAUGACGGCCCUACGGGUUGUAAACUGCUUUUAUACGGGAAUAACGCGCCUUACGUGUAGGGCUUUGCAUGUACCGUAUGAAUAAGGACCGGCUAAUUCCGUGCCAGCAGCCGCGGUAAUACGGAAGGUCCGGGCGUUAUCCGGAUUUAUUGGGUUUAAAGGGAGCGUAGGCCGCAUGUCAAGCGUGCUGUGAAAUGUCCGGGCUCAACCCGGGCCUUGCAGCGCGAACUGGCGUGCUUGAGUGCGCGGAAGGCGGGCGGAACUCGACGUGUAGCGGGGAAAUGCUUAGAUAUAACGAAGAACACCGAUGGCGAAGGCAGCUUGCUGCAGCGGAACUGACGCUGAUGCUCGAAAGCGCGGGUAUCGAACAGGAUUAGAUACCCCAGUAGUC